AAUCAACGCUGGCGGCGUGCCUCAGACAUGCAAGUCGAACGCGAAAGUUCCCUUCGGGGAGCAAGUAGAGUGGCGCACGGGUGAGUAACACGUAGGUAAUUUGCCUUCGGGUGGGGAAGUAACAGUCGGAAGCGACUGCUAAUACCGCAUAAUGCAGCGGCUCGACAUCGAGACAGUUGUUAAAGCGGGGGAGUCCUUCGGGACCGUCGCGCCUGAAGAGAAGCCUGCGGCAGAUUAGCUAGUUGGUGAGGU
rnacentral:rRNA from 1 species